rnacentral:tRNA from 1 species
GGAAUGUGGCUCAGCGGUAGAGUGCUCCCCUGGCACCGGGUGGGACCCGGGUUUGAUCCUCAGCACCA